rnacentral:lncRNA from 1 species
CAGUUUUGCACAGACAUCUGGAAAGUUUGAUCUGGGAGAGACCACAUCACAGAAAAAUUGUUACUGUCUGAGGGGACACUGGUGAUAAAAACCUUAAAACUCAUAUCUUAACUAAAUCUUAUAUGUGCUCAACCUGCCACCUUUUUUGUCAUCACUGGAGUGAAUAGUCUAAUGUGUGCCUAUGAAAUAUUACACCAGACACAAGGUAGAAGCCCUGAAUUUUAGCUGGCAUGUGGCCAUCCAGAAUAACGGUUUCAUUUCACAGUCUCCCUUGCAGUUAUUAAGCCGUGGGAAAACACCUGCAAGUGUAAACCAUGUCAAGUGUUUAGAACAGUGCCUGCACACAAGCCAUGACCAAAAAAUGUUCAAACUUAUAGCCACGCUCUGGUGCCCUCAAGAAGUUUGUUUAGAGGGCAAAAGUAGAAGAAGAGCAGCAGCUGCCGGGGCCUCAUGUGAACUUGGACAAGGGACAUCUCUGCACCACGCUAUUCAGAAAGAAGCCCAGAGGAGUCUUCCAGAUGUGCUGACCCUGGGCUUCUGCACCACUGCAACACCUGUAUGGAGUAAGGAAUCCCCCAGCUAUAACGAGGGAAGAUCUCUGCCUUCCAAGGGGAUGAGAGUUCAGACAGGGCGUGCGCUUCACCUUCCUCUCUGCUCCGUUUGGUUUGUGGGCUUGGAAUUUCCUUUUUCAAUAACUCCCAAGUCUAUCUGACCCACUUCUGUUGUUUCAUUCAUAGCAGAGAGAGACAUCCACAGGUAUUUUUCUCUCUCUAUAUAUGCAUGCAUUCAGUUAUUUUAACCUGCCUUUUCCCACAGAGGGUUUUAGACAAUGUAGACAAUUUGCUUGGGAAUAUUAUCAUUUCAAUGAUAAUCUCCUUUCCACACUGAACAAUAAAAUAUGGCUCCAACAAUAUUGUGGACCAACUGAUUUGAAACAAGAGCUAAAUUUAAGUUUAUCCAUUGUUAAAGACAAAUAGUCUAUUUAAAAAUUAAGAAUAUAGCAGAUGUGGAUUGGAUAUUUGAUAUUUUCAUGAGCCAACGUGAUGCAGCAGAAAAUGAACUUGAGCUCUGAAGCAUACCUGAGAUUCAGCCCUAGCUUUUCGUAAUGCUAUCUGCAUAAUAUUGGGCAGGUUGCGUAGUUUACUUUCACCUCUGCUGCGUAGGGUUGUUGUGAGGACUGACUGUAAAUGUGGGGUGAAGCACUUGAACAGGGCCUGGCACAGACUUGCUGUUUAAUGUUUAAUAACACUAGCUGGUUUGCUUGCAACUAGGCAGUCCUGCUUUCAAGAACUUAGAAUAGACCCAGGUGAGGCAAACAAUCGAUAUGUUCAUAGCAAGUCACGAUCUUUGGUUCAUUUGACUCCUAAGAAUCCCUAACAGAAUGCAUCUUAGUGUUGUUGCUACGUGUAUCCAGAGAAAUAAACCUAUAAUUCCUUGGGAUGUUUUAUGAUUCAAAUGAUUUACUACUUCAAAUUGGUAUU